GAUGAAGAACGUAGCGAAAUGCGAUAAGUAAUGUGAAUUGCAGAAUCCAGUGAAUCAUCGAAUCUUUGAACGCACAUUGCGCCCGCCAGCAUUCUGGCGGGCAUGCCUGUCCGAGCGUCAUUUCAACCCUCAGGGCCCGCCUGCUUCGGCAGGCGCGGCGCUGGUGUUGGGGAUCGGCCUAACCGCCGUCCCCCAAAUACAGUGGCGGUCUCGCUGCAGCCUCCCCUGCGUAGUAGCAACACUCGCAUGCGGAGCGCGGCGCGGCCACGCCGUAAAACCCCCGACUUUCUGAACGUUGACCUCGGAUCAGGUAGGAAUACCCGCUGAACUUAAGCAUAUCAAUAAGCGGAGGA
rnacentral:misc_RNA from 1 species